UACGUAGGGUGCAAGCGUUGUCCGGAAUUACUGGGCGUAAAGAGCUCGUAGGCGGUUUGUCGCGUCGUCUGUGAAAUCCCGCAGCUCAACUGCGGGCUUGCAGGCGAUACGGGCAGACUUGAGUACUGCAGGGGAGACUGGAAUUCCUGGUGGAGCGGUGAAAUGCGCAGAUAUCAGGAGGAACACCCGUAGCGAAGGCGGCACUCUGGGCCGAUACUGACACUGAGGAGCGAAAGCGUGGGGAGCGAACAGG
rnacentral:rRNA from 1 species